UACGUAGGGUGCAAGCGUUAAUCGGAAUUACUGGGCGUAAAGCGUGCGCAGGCGGUUUUGUAAGUCUGUCGUGAAAGCCCCGGGCUCAACCUGGGAAUGGCGAUGGAGACUGCAAGGCUAGAAUCUGGCAGAGGGGGGUAGAAUUCCACGUGUAGCAGUGAAAUGCGUAGAGAUGUGGAGGAACACCGAUGGCGAAGGCAGCCCCCUGGGUCAAGAUUGACGCUCAUGCACGAAAGCGUGGGGAGCAAACAGG
rnacentral:rRNA from 1 species